UUAAGUGACGAUAGCCUAGGAGAUACACCUGUUCCCAUGCCGAACACAGAAGUUAAGCCCUAGCACGCCUGAUGUAGUUGGGGGUUGCCCCCUGUUAGAUAUGGUAGUUGCUUAGC
rnacentral:rRNA from 1 species